rnacentral:rRNA from 1 species
GACCCCAUGAAGAACACAUGGUUGAUAGGCUAGAGGUGUAAGCACAGUAAUGUGUGUAGCUGACUAGUACUAAUUGGUCGAGGACUUAACCUAA